rnacentral:tRNA from 1 species
AAAAGUUAGUUUAACUAAAACAUUAAUUUGUCAAAUUAAAAAUAUUAUAAAUUAAUACUUUUUA